UGCCCAGCAACUCCUAUCCCUACCUCCUUACGGUACUGGGCCGGGGUACGAGUAACCUUAGGGAAGAUCGGGUAACCAACCCCGGUGGACGCUUUGGUCCGAUGCUGACAGGGAAGG
rnacentral:ribozyme from 1 species